rnacentral:rRNA from 1 species
UACGAAGGGGGCUAGCGUUGCUCGGAAUCACUGGGCGUAAAGCGCACGUAGGCGGAUCUUUAAGUCAGGGGUGAAAUCCUGGAGCUCAACUCCAGAACUGCCUUUGAUACUGGGGAUCUCGAGUCCGGGAGAGGUGAGUGGAACUCCGAGUGUAGAGGUGAAAUUCGCAGAUAUCAGGAAGAACACCCGUGGCGAAGGCGGCUCUCUGGGACGGUACUGACGCUGAGACGCGAAAGCGUGGGGAGCGAACAGG